AUCGACGUUGAAUCGAAGAAAGUUUCGCGAUUUGCUAGCAUCGGCCAUACCCUGAAAACGUUUCGCCGUUUCGACAGACUCGGUCCAAUUUAACUUCGUCUCCGUGUUCGAACGUAUCGGCUGAAUGUUCCGUUUGUUUCGUUCGACCGCCAAGUCGCCAGUCGCGAGUCGAGUAUCUUACGUCGGACCGUCGUGUCGCAACACGGAAAUUAGACCGUUCCUUUAGUCGAUUUUCCGUUCGAUUCCACGUCUUGUUUCCUCCGUAAACGAUGCCGAAGCUGUUACAAGAUGCCAGUUUCGAUUUUCGGUCUUGUUUUUUGGGAAUUUAUAAUGGAAAACUUGACAACGGAACAACUACCAGUGGGACCGUGAAGUUAUUGUACGUCGAAAUCUGAGUCGGCGAUGAAGUCACGAGUCAUAAACAGAGGCCGGAAUUGUCCUGCAGCGACUCGAACGACCUACAGCAAUAAAUAUCGUCUUUAGCCGAGUUAUGCACUUUCAAGAUAAUCAUGCAUGGAUAAUCGCGUUAGUCGACACCGUCGUUAGCAGUACUAGCAACAGCAACGACAUUAAUAGCCUAAUAUUACGCUGAGGCGAGCUCGACCGUGGUUCAGCCAAGUGCGAUGCUUUUAGGAUAUAACUACCGAACGAGUUUCUACAGAGUUAGUCGUCGUCGUCGUCGUUCCUUUGUUUCAAGUCAGCAUCGGUAAAUUCGUUCGAAAAGAUAUUCUCCGUCGCGUGUCAUCCGGCUUACGUACUGAGUCUUGAAUUUAUCCAAGUUGUCCCUUUGCGAACCACGACCCUGUGUCGUGUCGUUGUGUCGUCAUUAGUCUACGAAUAUCUAUACGUCUAUAUUUAACUCGUAGUCUGCAUUUUUAUAUAGAUCGCUUACGAGGGAGCUACUUACGUUAUAACGAUAUGCUUAAUAUUCUAAUUAGGAUGUAAUAACUACAUGCGUUACCUUAUAAUCCUAAUUAAUCUAAUUUUAAAUAAUAGCAUCGUAGCAUGAUUUUUGAUUUAUAAACUAUACUUUAGGAAAACUUGUAUAAAACGCAUCGAGAUCUCUACUAUAUUUUAAAUAAAUUUGAUGUUGUCUUAAAAAUUGGCCAAUACAGAUUUAUCUAUAUAUAAUCUUAAUUAAUUUAAACGUAAAAUAAAACCAACG
rnacentral:misc_RNA from 1 species